AUGAUCUUUCACCAUACUUUCCUCUUCGGGAUUCUUUUCACUUGAGAUUGCACAAUUAUUUUCUCUUAGAAAGCUCACCUGUAGAUGUGGUAGGCAUCUACCUCGCUUCUGGUUUUCCUGCAUUUUGAAAACUAACUUUCUAUUUUCCUCUUUUUCCAUUUUGUAAUAAAAUUUUACAUUACAGAAAAAUUAGCUAUAGCCAAAUUAGUUCGUUUUUUAUUUGACAUUCUAAAAGAAUAAAGUUAUGUACAAUUUAUUAGAAUGAAGUUGGUUUCAUUUAUUGAUUUGUUUUUAUUCUACUGCAUUCUAACCUCAAAAGUUUCAGUGCAAAAAUACAAUAACAUCCAUGUCAUGGAUGAUAAAAUUGAUCUAUUUCGGCGUAUUAGGCUACCUCUCAACUUCAUGCAUGUGAUGGCUGCUGCAGGAAAAUGAAUUCCCAUCCACCCUAUAAAAGUCUCUUAUCAUGCUGGUAUCCAUAUUGAGGUAAACUUAUUCUUCUUAUUCAAGAUUUGCCAGCUAUGACACAAAUUUUCUUCUCAAUAAUAUGUUAUCUACCAGACCUCAGGAAUGGAUAAAUCGGGGUGUAGAUGUCUAAAAUCAUGCUUCCCAGAAAUACAAGAGUACCGUACGUAUCGAUCAUAAUCGUGCUUGCUCCUUGAGUGCCAUAAAGUGCAAUACUAAAGUUUCCGGAAAGGAUACAUAGUCAACCGUGGGAGACGUGGGGUACUUUCAGUGUGAAUUUUUGUCAUAUGUACAUGAGCGCGGAACUUCUGUUAUUGCAGCCCGGAAGGUCCAAUCAACAAUGACUGUUACUAAUGCGACCAUAUGAGUGAUUGGUGGAAUGAACUCAGCCAGGACGUCUCAAUGGGAGUUUUGUCUAAUGGAGUUCAUGGCGCUCCCGAGGAUGUUGUCUUUUCUUUCCCGUGCGAGGUGAUGGAUGGUAAAUGACGUAUCGUGCAAGGACUCACAGUAAAACAUUUGCUAAGGACAAGCUAUACAUCACAGGCAAGGAGCUAGAGGAGCACAAGGGUGAAGCUGUAAGUGUGUUCUGCACAUUCACUAGAUGGCCCCAGGAAACUCUAAAAGGGAUACUGCACCACCACCAAAAAACUCCGGGAUUCUAUCACAGAAUUAACAUGGUUGAUAGACUUGAUGUUGGAUUGGAUUGCUGAAGUAGCUUUUACCAUUUGCGCCAUACCCUCGGACGGAAGGAAGGAGGAAGACGUCGGAGGAAGACGAAUUGCAUGUGGCACCACCUCAGGGGUCCUCCUGGUCCAUUAGGAUUCCUUCACUGGGUAUGAAAUUAACUUAACCAAAGAGCUCACAGGUCAAUUUUGUAAAUUCUGUGAAAAGGCAAGGCGACCAUACUCAAGAGGAAGCUACAUAUAGUCGUUCUAACAGCCACAAGACUUAAAUUCUGUCCGAUGAUGCUGUAAAAUGAUCUUUUAAGGAGCAUUCUGAAGUGCAUGAGGGUUGAGGAGAUCCCCUGAAACCAUGCGUGGCUUCAUUUCAAUUGCGUUCUAAAAUUUCAUUGAUCCAAAGGAUGACAUCAUGUGUAUUUUCGUACGAACAAAUUACAAAAAAAAAACUCAUAAGUAUUAUACAGAAUUUUUUAUUUCACUUUAAACUUCUUUUACUUUACUUUAAACUUCUUUUAUUUAACUUUAAACUUUUUUUACUUCACUUUGUGUUAACACAACAAAUUGGCAAAAUUUUUGUAUAAGAAAAAUUCAAAAUUGAGAGAAAAAAACAUCUACGUUUAGCAUUAUUUUCCAUUUAUAAAAAAAGAAAGAAAGAAAUAUUUUACUUCACUUUGUGUUAACACAAGAAAUUGACAAAAUUUUUGUAUAAGAAAAAUUUAAAUUUGAGAGAAAAAAACAUCUACGUUUAGCAUUAUUUUCCAUUUAUAAAAAAAGAAAGAAAGAAAUAAAUGGAGUAUUUGUUGAUUGCAA